GUCGAACGAACUCUGGUAUUGAUUGGUGCUUGCAUCAUGAUUUACAUUUGAGUGAGUGGCGAACUGGUGAGUAACACGUGGGAAACCUGCCCAGAAGCGGGGGAUAACACCUGGAAACAGAUGCUAAUACCGCAUAACAACUUGGACCGCAUGGUCCGAGUUUGAAAGAUGGCUUCGGCUAUCACUUUUGGAUGGUCCCGCGGCGUAUUAGCUAGAUGGUGGGGUAACGGCUCACCAUGGCAAUGAUACGUAGCCGACCUGAGAGGGUAAUCGGCCACAUUGGGACUGAGACACGGCCCAAACUCCUACGGGAGGCAGCAGUAGGGAAUCUUCCACAAUGGACGAAACUCUGAUGGAGCAACGCCGCGUGAGUGAAGAAGGGUUUCGGCUCGUAAAACUCUGUUGUUAAAGAAGAACAUAUCUGAGAGUAACUGUUCAGGUAUUGACGGUAUUUAACCAGAAAGCCACGGCUAACUACGUGCCAGCAGCCGCGGUAAUACGUAGGUGGCAAGCGUUGUCCGGAUUUAUUGGGCGUAAAGCGAGCGCAGGCGGUUUUUUAAGUCUGAUGUGAAAGCCUUCGGCUCAACCGAAGAAGUGCAUCGGAAACUGGGAAACUUGAGUGCAGAAGAGGACAGUGGAACUCCAUGUGUAGCGGUGAAAUGCGUAGAUAUAUGGAAGAACACCAGUGGCGAAGGCGGCUGUCUGGUCUGUAACUGACGCUGAGGCUCGAAAGUAUGGGUAGCAAACAGGAUUAGAUACCCUGGUAGUCCAUACCGUAAACGAUGAAUGCUAAGUGUUGGAGGGUUUCCGCCCUUCAGUGCUGCAGCUAACGCAUUAAGCAUUCCGCCUGGGGAGUACGGCCGCAAGGCUGAAACUCAAAGGAAUUGACGGGGGCCCGCACAAGCGGUGGAGCAUGUGGUUUAAUUCGAAGCUACGCGAAGAACCUUACCAGGUCUUGACAUACUAUGCAAAUCUAAGAGAUUAGACGUUCCCUUCGGGGACAUGGAUACAGGUGGUGCAUGGUUGUCGUCAGCUCGUGUCGUGAGAUGUUGGGUUAAGUCCCGCAACGAGCGCAACCCUUAUUAUCAGUUGCCAGCAUUAAGUUGGGCACUCUGGUGAGACUGCCGGUGACAAACCGGAGGAAGGUGGGGAUGACGUCAAAUCAUCAUGCCCCUUAUGACCUGGGCUACACACGUGCUACAAUGGAUGGUACAACGAGUUGCGAACUCGCGAGAGUAAGCUAAUCUCUUAAAGCCAUUCUCAGUUCGGAUUGUAGGCUGCAACUCGCCUACAUGAAGUCGGAAUCGCUAGUAAUCGCGGAUCAGCAUGCCGCGGUGAAUACGUUCCCGGGCCUUGUACACACCGCCCGUCACACCAUGAGAGUUUGUAACACCCAAAGUCGGUGGGGUAACCU
rnacentral:rRNA from 2 species